AACGAACGUUAGCGGCGCGCCUAACACAUGCAAGUCGAGCGAGAAAGGGCUUCGGCCCCGGUAAAGCGGCGCACGGGUGAGUAACACGUAGGUAAUCUGCCCCUGAGCGGGGGAUAACCUUCCGAAAGGAGGGCUAAUACCGCAUGGGACCACGACGACGCGAGUCGUUGAGGUGAAAGCCGGCCUCUGCAUGCAAGCUGGCGCUUGGGGGAUGAGCCUGCGGCCCAUCAGCUAGUUGGUAGGGUAAUGGCCUACCAAGGCGUAGACGGGUAGCUGGUCUGAGAGGAUGAUCAGCCACACUGGAACUGAGACACGGUCCAGACUCCUACGGGAGGCAGCAGUGGGGAAUCUUGCGCAAUGGGCGAAAGCCUGACGCAGCGACGCCG
rnacentral:rRNA from 1 species